CUACCAAAACAAUAAAAAGAAAAAAGCCUACAGUGUAUGACCAUUCCAUGUGAUUUGAUUUUGUCAAUUACAAUCUCUAUCCUUCCCUUUUGUGCAAGUGUAGAAACAUGGACGGACAACUUUGUCAUUUUCACGUCCGCGUUAAUUGCUAAUUCAAAUGGUCACUGACGUGUCAACAAUGACAACGACCAAGGGACCCACCACAAAGCCAGCGGUUGAAAUUUUUAUUAUAAUGGGGGUGGGAAUGCCUCUCAAACAAAGCAUUAUAUACUUGUUUAAGAUUGUUUUGGAUUUGAAGGCCGACUUUCGGUUGAAGUGGACGGGUUCACGAAUUCUACAACGAUUUCUUUACAUUCAAUUUUCUCCGAUGAUCGUACUGAAUUUCGGUCUGGUCCUCAAUUUUUCCCAUCGAAUUGAUUCAAUUUUGAGAAAUUUGGAUAAAACACCAAAAGUAAGAACGAAUCCAAAAAAAAAAAAAAUUGUAGAGUACCUACUAACACGAAGAAAAUAAAGUCUCGACCUAGAUGCAGCACACUCGAAAAAUGAUCGAGCAAACUAAUAGAUUAGACAAUAAAAUGAAAAAUAAAUAAAAACUCCAAAUAAUCCUAGAAUGGACUGAAGGAAAUGUAAAUCACAUGUAUUCAAAAGACUUGCACAGGAUCCUCCUUUUCCUUCAAAACUGAGAUGUUAAACAAGAUUCUAACAGGAAAAAAAUUUUGUACACUAGUAAAACGAUUCCUCUGUUUGAAGAUUAAAUUUCAGAGAGCAUCACACUACCUACUAAAAUUAAGUUUCAGAGAACAGGAUGAUCAGGGCAAAC
rnacentral:lncRNA from 1 species